rnacentral:lncRNA from 1 species
AGUCAUGUCCAGUUCUGUAAACAAAUUCUCAACUGCACCAGAAGGCCUGACAGUUAAGAGAACCCAGUGAAGAAACCUUUUGCAGAGAGAGAAAAGAACCCUUUUGAAUGUGAUCAAUCACGCUGAUUUAUUUGGAUGAUUUCUCUUCUGGAUUUCCUUAAACCAGGGAAAACCCAGGGACAGCAAUUGCUAUAAUUGAUGCAAACGAUCCCAGCCACACUCCCUGAUCCUGGUUCUGAAACUCAGAGAUGCAGCUGACCAGACUGAUGUGGCCAGCCUCACUCUGAAGGAUCCUGCAGCAGACAAAUUGCUGGAAUGUGUUCAGACGGAAUCCAGCUGCUACAACCGUCACACAAACUUCCUGAAAUAGAGGACAAAAGAGACAGAGGUCUUGCUAUGUUGCCCAGGCUGGUCUCAAGCUCCUGGCCUCAAGCGAUUCUCCUUCCUCAGCCUCCAAAAGUGCUGGGAUUACAGGCCACAAAAUGCAUGGCACAGGGAAGGGUUUGACAACUUUUUGAUGGAUGAACAAAGAAGAUUCAAGCCACUUGUCAACAAGCUCAAAGUGAUUGAAAGUGGAAGCAUUUACCCACACGCUCAUGCAGAAAAUGACAGGAAAUCAUCCAGAGACACUUGUGACAGAGAUGAGAACUGUCACUGUUGAGAGGUGCUGCGGAGAUGGGUGUCCACGGAUGACCGUUCGGAGGCCGACUUCGGGGAUGUGGCCCCAUUAGCUCAAGAGUGGGUGACUCCCUACCACACUGAUGGCGUUGGCCAGGACAGGACAAGCCUACUGCAGUGACACAGUGUCACUGAUCCCUGAUGCCCACGUGGGUGUUUUACUUUAGCUAAUGCUGCAGAGAUAAUGCAGACAGAGAAAUGAGGCCCCAGCGCUGAGCAGCCCAAUCACCUGGUUGUAAGCAGCGAGUGUUUCUGGCUCUGCUCCUGGGCCCCAAACCACUGUGGGCUCACGAAGAAUCUUUCAGAGUUGGAGUCAGAAUGUCAGGGUUUGAGUGUAGUCUCCACCCCUUAAUGACCUUGCAUUGAUAAUUCUAUUCCCCGAGCCUCAUUUUACCCAUCUAUAAAAUGAGGACAAAUAGUUUAUUUCCUGGUUACUUCACUAAGAUGUUGUAUCAAAAAAGAAUAUAUGCAAUAAAAUGCUUUCCUAAGUAAAAAAAGAUUUCCUAAGUCAAACACAGAUUUUAUUUUAUAUUUUUAGUUAAGGUUUGCAAAAUUAGAUGUCAGAUUAGGAAAUCCGGACUACCGUGUGUGAUCAGCAAAGUUAUGACUUCAAAAGAAAACAUAAUUGGCGGAAAAACCUUACAUGUGAGGCAGACAUGAUGAGAUCUAACAACCGGUGGGCAUUGGUGGAUGAGUUCUGUCUUACCUUGUGUUUAUCUUUUGAAAUCUAGGUAAUCUUAGCCAGGAGCUAUGUCUCAUGUCAAUAAUCGCAGCAGUUUGGGAGGCUGAGGCGGGAAGAUCACUUGAGCCCAGGAGUUCGAGACGAGCCUGAGCAACACAGUGAGACCUCAUCUCUACAAAAAAUUAAAAUAAAAUAAAAUAAAAUAAAAUC